rnacentral:rRNA from 1 species
GACGAACGCUGGCGGCGUGCCUAACACAUGCAAGUCGAGCGAAUGAAGUUCCUUCGGGAACGGAUUUAGCGGCGGACGGGUGAGUAACACGUGGGCAACCUGCCUCAUAGAGGGGAAUAGCCUUCCGAAAGGAAGAUUAAUACCGCAUAAGAUUGUAGCUUCGCAUGAAGCAGCAAUUAAAGGAGCAAUCCGCUAUGAGAUGGGCCCGCGGCGCAUUAACUAGUUGGUGAGGUAACGGCUCACCAAGGCGACGAUGCGUAGCCGACCUGAGAGGGUGAUCGGCCACAUUGGGACUGAGACACGGCCCAGACUCCUACGGGAGGCAGCAGUGGGGAAUAUUGCACAAUGGGGGAAACCCUGAUGCAGCAACGCCGCGUGAGUGAUGACGGUCUUCGGAUUGUAAAGCUCUGUCUUCAGGGACGAUAAUGACGGUACCUGAGGAGGAAGCCACGGCUAACUACGUGCCAGCCGCCGCCGUAACAC